AGGUUAAUUGGAACCAUGACUAAUGGAUCCAGCCACAGAGGACAGAUUGUUACUGUGCAACAAAGGGUCAUCAUUCCAACAGUAAACAGUAACUUGCCAGUAAUUACAUGAGCUUUCCAGAUAUUUCUGCCAUAUUACUAAGCCAAGUACAUCCAAAUGAAAAAGAACAACAUAAACUCACAAAUCUUCAUUUCAUCACUGCAAGUGUGGAGCUGGAUGUAAUGGUCUUCAGCAGGGUAAGGGACUUGGAUUGGAAAGUAAGUGACCGGCUCACUCCUGCCUCAGCUUGUCAUAUCAAGUGUUGGACAGC